rnacentral:lncRNA from 1 species
GCUCAGGUGAACCAUGUGCCCUAGGACCCCAGCCAUGAACAUCCCCAGGCUGUGACUUCUGGUCAUCCAGACACCUGAAGGAAUGCUUCCUCUGAAGGCCCCAGUGCUGCAGCAAGAGGAGCAGUACGCCCAGGCAUUGUCAUGGCUCCGGUUUGCUGGACUGUCAUCUUGCCCCUCAGCAGCAGCAAAAUUUCUGCAUAACAUCGUCUAUCCAAGACAAACAACCUCACAAAGGGCCAGAUUUACCUCCUUGCUGGCAUCUGCUAUGGCAGCAGCAAUGAUGGAGAAGACAAAAUUGUUGUCCACUGACGGUACCUCAGUGACUGGUGCUGGAUGGAGUUCCCGGCAAGCUGCUUCUGGAAAGUCUCACAGUACCAGUUUUGGGUUGAACAACAGCAAGCAACACCCCACCAUAGGCACGACUGGAGUGAGAAGCUUUACCAAGGAAAGGAAAGCAUAUUUGUUCAGUGAACUGUGAUGGAGAACAGACUUACUGUUUCCUGAUUUCUGAAAUACAAAUUCAAACAACACAGAUUUGUCCUUGGCCCAGGGAUGUGUGACAGCAAGCUAAACGUAAG